rnacentral:misc_RNA from 1 species
GUAGGAGCCGGCUUGCUGGCGAUGGCGGCCGAACAGUCGCUGAAGAUGUGACUGUUCGAUGGCUAUCGCCAGCAAGCCGGCGCCUAC